GAGGGGUGUGGGUACAAAACUGAAUCUUAAAGGAAUUGAUGGAAGUGCACCACUAGGAGUGGAGUCUGCAGCUUAUUUUUGACUCAAAAUGGGAAACCUCACCUGGCCUGGAUAUGGACAGCAUUGACAAGAUUGUUAGCUCUUUCUCAAUACCAUAGAUGGUGGUUCAUGGUAAUUCUUGGUGGAGUAAUUUCUCUGGUUAAUUCUGAUGAGAAAUGAGAUUCUGUCAUGCUAACAAGUUAUGAGACACCCACACACACACACAAGCAGUCAGCAUCCUCCAAUAUUUUGAGGGACAAGUGGCAUUCAGCUGCCUGAUGUUGAACAAUUACAGGUGCAUGAUGCUGUUAGAUAUCUUGAGCUGCACACCCAUGACACUGACUGUCUCAGCAUGUGCCUACCUUAUGCUGACAGGCAUGGGUAACCCGUUGAACUCCAUUCAUGCUGGGUGGAUAGGGGAUGGCAAUUUUCCGUACGAAUGAGGAAUUCUCAGUAAAUGUCAGUCAAUAGAUUGUGUUGACCAAGUCCCUGCCCUUUGUACACACUGCCCAUCCCUACUACCGAUUGGAUGGUUUAGAGAGGCCCUCAGAUCGACCCCACCAGGUUGGCACCUGGCCUGAUCAGAAAUUUGAGAAGAUGGUUGAACUUGACUACCUACAGGAAGUAAAAGUCAUAAGAAGGUUUCUGUAGGUGAACCUGCAGAAG
rnacentral:ncRNA from 1 species